UCCGUGGUUGUAGGCUAUCGAUCGCCUC
rnacentral:piRNA from 1 species